rnacentral:lncRNA from 1 species
UAAAAUCAGAAGAUCAGCUUGCAGAUAUUCUCACCAAAGCAGUCUCCAAUCGAAUAUUCUCGUCAUUUUUGGGCAACUUGGGCAUGUGUGAUAUCUAUGCACCAACUUGAGGGGGAGUGUUGAGAUUAUAAUAAAAAAUUAUGUGUGAUUCUUUCCUUUCGUAUUUGAUUAUUUCUUUCUUAGUCUGAUUGUAAUCUUAAUUAUAGGGAUCGUAUAGAGUAAUUCUAGGAAGUUCUCCUAUAUAUAUCUGUGUAUAUUGACACAAGA